rnacentral:rRNA from 1 species
GUGGGGAAUAUUGGACAAUGGGGGCAACCCUGAUCCAGCAAUGCCGCGUGUGUGAAGAAGGCCUGAGGGUUGUAAAGCACUUUCAGUGGGGAGGAGGAUUGACAGGUUAAGAGCUAGUUAAUUGGACGUUACCCACAGAAGAAGCACCGGCUAACUCCGUGCCAGCAGCCGCGGUAAUACGGAGGGUGCAAGCGUUAAUCGGAAUUACUGGGCGUAAAGGGUGCGUAGGUGGUUGUAUAAGUUAACUGUGAAAUCCCCGGGCUCAACCUGGGCAGGUCAGUUAAGACUGUAUGACUCGAGUAUGGGAGAGGGUAGUGGAAUUUCCGGUGUAGCGGUGAAAUGCGUAGAGAUCGGAAGGAACACCAGUGGCGAAGGCGGCUACCUGGCCCAAUACUGACACUGAGGCACGAAAGCGUGGGGAUCGAACAGGAUUAGAUACCCUUGUAGUCC